rnacentral:rRNA from 1 species
GUGCCAGCAGCCGCGGUAAUACGAAGGGGGCGAGCGUUGUUCGGAUUUACUGGGCGUAAAGGGCGCGCAGGCGGCUUUUCAAGUCAGGCGUGAAAGCCCCGGGCUUAACCUGGGAACUGCGUCUGGGACUGAGAGGCUAGAGUUCGGGAGAGGAGAGUGGAAUUCCCAGUGUAGAGGUGAAAUUCGUAGAUAUUGGGAAGAACACCGGUGGCGAAGGCGGCUCUCUGGACCGAGACUGACGCUGAGGCGCGAAAGCGUGGGGAGCAAACAGGAUUAGAAACCCCAGUAGUCC